rnacentral:rRNA from 1 species
UACGGAGGGGGCUAGCGUUGUUCGGAAUUACUGGGCGUAAAGCGCACGUAGGCGGCGAUUUAAGUUAGAGGUGAAAGCCCGGGGCUCAACUCCGGAAUUGCCUUUAAGACUGCAUCGCUAGAAUUGUGGAGAGGUAAGUGGAAUUCCGAGUGUAGAGGUGAAAUUCGUAGAUAUUCGGAAGAACACCAGUGGCGAAGGCGACUUACUGGACACAUAUUGACGCUGAGGUGCGAAAGCGUGGGGAGCAAACAGG